rnacentral:lncRNA from 10 species
CCUAAGCCCAAGAGAGCCUCCUGCCUCAAUCUCCUGAGUAGCUAGGACUAAAGGUGCUGCCAUGCCUGGCUAAUUUUAAAAAACUGUUGUUUUUUUUUCCUUGUAGAGAUGGAGGACUGGUACAUUGCCCAGGGUGGUCUUGAACUCUUGGGCUCAAGCAAUCCUCCUGCCUUGGGCUCCCAAAGUGCUGGGGUUACAGGCAUGAGCCAUGUGCCUAGCCUCAGCUACAUAUUUAAUACUCAUUCAUUUUUCAAGACUACACUGAGGAGUAUGACAAGUUUUCAGCUUGAGAAGGGCUUGCAUUCUGUAGGAGAAAUGAACAAACAGCAUUAAUGUUGAUGAUGCAACAUGGAACAAGUGCUAUGACAGAGAUUAAAAAACAAGUGCUUGUUCAUUUACUGGAAAGACAGAAGACCGAUUCAGCCUGGAAAGAAAAAUCCCUGAGAAGAUGGUAUGGACUAAACAAAUAAAUGGGAUUUUAACAAAUAAAGAAUAAAAAUUAUUUUAUUUUAUAAAGGGAGGCACAAUAAUCUAAUCUGAAUAUGAUUUGGAUGUGAGUAAGGGUUGCAGGAGGUGAGUAAGGGUUGCAGGAGAUGAGGGAGGGAGUAUGUAGAUAUCUGGGGUAAAAGCAUUUCUGGCUGAGAAGACAGCAAGUGCAAAUGCCCUGAGACAGGAUCAGGGCUUUUGAGGAAUCACAAAAAAACCCAAUGAUCUUGGAAUAGAAUGUGCAAGCCAAAGUGGGUCCAAGACCAGAUCAGAGUGAUGGGAAGCGGAGGGGGGCAGAAUAUGUAGAGCCUGGGAUGUCAUUGUAAGAACCUGGGCUUUUACUCUGAGUAAAAUAUGAAGUCAUUAGAACUUUUGGAACUAAAAAGGGGCAGAACUGUCUCUCUCACUGCUGUGUUGAGAAUAGAAUGAAAGGAUCAAGGACAUAAGUCGGAAGACCAGUCAGGAGACUAUGGCGGUAUUCCAGGUAAAACAUGAUGUGUCUCAGACAAGGGUGGUGGCAAAACUAGUGGGAUUCUUAAAUUUUGGAUGUGGGAUCAAUAAAAAUGUGUUGAUGGAUUGGAAGCAUAAGAGAAAGGGCACCCAGGAAUGACCUUAAGUUCUUGGCCUGAGCAACGGGGGAAAGGAGGUUGCCAAUAAUAACUGAGAACCUGAAGCUUGGAGGAGGAGUGAUACAGGGGACGAGCAGGAGCUCAGCUAUAGACACGCUAAAUUUGAGAUACGUUUUAGUCAUUGUUUGGUGAUAUCAGGUUGGCAAUUGGAUGUACUGGUCUAGAGUCCAGGGUGGGGUCUGGGCUGAAAAUGCAUACUUGGACAUCAUCAAUUUUUGACAAGAUGGCUUUAGAGCAUCAUAAUACACAUUUAGUUGAUUGUAGAAGGAAUAUAGAAUUGUGAUGCCAAAGUUUGUGGCUUGCUCCACCAUGAUGAAUUGCUUUCUAAAUGAUUUUAAUGUUCUCUGUGUUAUAAUGAUGUGGAAUGUUUAUUGGAAUUGCACAUUUGACCGUUAACUUACUUAAAGUGGUAAAACAUUUUUACUCUAAAAAUAAAAAAUUAAAACAAUCACACAUAGCCUACUGCCUAAGUGAUAAUCAUUGCUAAAAGUCUGCUAUAUUUCUUUCCCAUCUUUUUUCUUUGAGUGUUUCUAAAUGUGAAUUUUCUAAAAAGUCUAACAAAAUAAGUUGUUGAUAAGACAAAGCUGAGUUUUCUUUUUUUCAUCAACUUUUAUUUUAAGUUGCGGGGUACAUGUGCAGGAUGUGCAGGUUUCUUACAUAGGUAAACUUGUGCCAUAGUGAUUUGCUGCACAGAUCAACCCAUCACCUAAGUAUCAAGCCCAAUAGGCAUUACCUAUCCUUCCUGAUGCUCUUCCCCUACCCUGACAGGCCCUAGUGUAUGUUGUUCCCUGCAGUGUGUCCACAUGUUCUCAUCUUUCAGCUCCCACUUAUAUGUGAGAACAUGUGGUGUUUGGUUCUCUAUUCCUGCAUUGGUUUGCUGAGGAUAAUGUCUUCCAGCACCACCCUUGCCCUUGCAAAGGACAUGAUCUCAUUCUUUUUUAUGGCUGCAUAGUAUUCCAUGGUGUACAUGUACUACAUUUUCUUUAUCCAGUCUAUCAUUGCUGGGCAUUUGGGUUAAUUCCAUGUCUUUGCUAUUGUGAAUAGUGCUGCAAUGAGCAUACCUAUGCAUGUAUCUUUAUAAUAGAAUGAUUUACAUUCCUUUGGGUAUAUACCC